UACGUAGGGGGCAAGCGUUGUCCGGAUUUAUUGGGCGUAAAGAGCGUGUAGGCGGCUUUGCAAGUCCGUUGUGAAAACUCGAGGCUCAACCUCGAGACGCCGGUGGAAACUGCAAAGCUAGAGUCCGGAAGAGGAGAGUGGAAUUCCUGGUGUAGCGGUGAAAUGCGCAGAUAUCAGGAAGAACACCCGUGGCGAAGGCGGCUCUCUGGGACGGUACUGACGCUGAGACGCGAAAGCGUGGGGAGCAAACAGG
rnacentral:rRNA from 1 species